rnacentral:rRNA from 1 species
AUUGAACGCUGGCGGCAUGCCUUACACAUGCAAGUCGAACGGCAGCACGGAGCCUGCUCUGGUGGCGAGUGGCGAACGGGUGAGUAAUAUAUCGGAACGUACCCUGGAGUGGGGGAUAACGUAGCGAAAGUUACGCUAAUACCGCAUACGAUCUAAGGAUGAAAGUGGGGGAUUCGCAAGAACCUCAUGCUCGUGGAGCGGCCGAUAUCUGAUUAGCUAGUUGGUAGGGUAAAAGCCUACCAAGGCAUCGAUCAGUAGCUGGUCUGAGAGGACGACCAGCCACACUGGAACUGAGACACGGUCCAGACUCCUACGGGAGGCAGCAGUGGGGAAUUUUGGACAAUGGGCGCAAGCCUGAUCCAGCAAUGCCGCGUGAGUGAAGAAGGCCUUCGGGUUGUAAAGCUCUUUUGUCAGGGAAGAAACGGUGGGAGCUAAUAUCUCCUGCUAAUGACGGUACCUGAAGAAUAAGCACCGGCUAACUACGUGCCAGCAGCCGCGGUAAUACGUAGGGUGCAAGCGUUAAUCGGAAUUACUGGGCGUAAAGCGUGCGCAGGCGGUUUUGUAAGUCUGAUGUGAAAUCCCCGGGCUCAACCUGGGAAUUGCAUUGGAGACUGCAAGGCUAGAAUCUGGCAGAGGGGGGUAGAAUUCCACGUGUAGCAGUGAAAUGCGUAGAUAUGUGGAGGAACACCGAUGGCGAAGGCAGCCCCCUGGGUCAAGAUUGACGCUCAUGCACGAAAGCGUGGGGAGCAAACAGGAUUAGAUACCCUGGUAGUCCACGCCCUAAACGAUGUCUACUAGUUGUCGGGUCUUAAUUGACUUGGUAACGCAGCUAACGCGUGAAGUAGACCGCCUGGGGAGUACGGUCGCAAGAUUAAAACUCAAAGGAAUUGACGGGGACCCGCACAAGCGGUGGAUGAUGUGGAUUAAUUCGAUGCAACGCGAAAAACCUUACCUACCCUUGACAUGGCUGGAAUCCUCGAGAGAUUGAGGAGUGCUCGAAAGAGAACCAGUACACAGGUGCUGCAUGGCUGUCGUCAGCUCGUGUCGUGAGAUGUUGGGUUAAGUCCCGCAACGAGCGCAACCCUUGUCAUUAGUUGCUACGAAAGGGCACUCUAAUGAGACUGCCGGUGACAAACCGGAGGAAGGUGGGGAUGACGUCAAGUCCUCAUGGCCCUUAUGGGUAGGGCUUCACACGUCAUACAAUGGUACAUACAGAGCGCCGCCAACCCGCGAGGGGGAGCUAAUCGCAGAAAGUGUAUCGUAGUCCGGAUUGUAGUCUGCAACUCGACUGCAUGAAGUUGGAAUCGCUAGUAAUCGCGGAUCAGCAUGUCGCGGUGAAUACGUUCCCGGGUCU